GGGUUGUGAGGUUAAGCGACUAAGCGUACACGGUGGAUGCCCUGGCAGUCAGAGGCGAUGAAGGACGUGCUAAUCUGCGAUAAGCGUCGGUGAGGUGAUAUGAACCGUUAUAACCGGCGAUUUCCGAAUGGGGAAACCCAGUGUGUUUCGACACACUAUCAUUAACUGAAUCCAUAGGUUAAUGAGGCGAACCGGGGGAACUGAAACAUCUAAGUACCCCGAGGAAAAGAAAUCAACCGAGAUUCCCCCAGUAGCGGCGAGCGAACGGGGAGGAGCCCAGAGCCUGAAUCAGUGUGUGUGUUAGUGGAAGCGUCUGGAAAGGCGUGCGAUACAGGGUGACAGCCCCGUACACAAAAAUGCACAUAUUGUGAGCUCGAUGAGUAGGGCGGGACACGUGGUAUCCUGUCUGAAUAUGGGGGGACCAUCCUCCAAGGCUAAAUACUCCUGACUGACCGAUAGUGAACCAGUACCGUGAGGGAAAGGCGAAAAGAACCCCGGCGAGGGGAGUGAAAAAGAACCUGAAACCGUGUACGUACAAGCAGUGGGAGCCUCUUAAUGGGGUGACUGCGUACCUUUUGUAUAAUGGGUCAGCGACUUAUAUUCUGUAGCAAGGUUAACCGAAUAGGGGAGCCGAAGGGAAACCGAGUCUUAACUGGGCGUUAAGUUGCAGGGUAUAGACCCGAAACCCGGUGAUCUAGCCAUGGGCAGGUUGAAGGUUGGGUAACACUAACUGGAGGACCGAACCGACUAAUGUUGAAAAAUUAGCGGAUGACUUGUGGCUGGGGGUGAAAGGCCAAUCAAACCGGGAGAUAGCUGGUUCUCCCCGAAAGCUAUUUAGGUAGCGCCUCGUGAAUUCAUCUCCGGGGGUAGAGCACUGUUUCGGCAAGGGGGUCAUCCCGACUUACCAACCCGAUGCAAACUGCGAAUACCGGAGAAUGUUAUCACGGGAGACACACGGCGGGUGCUAACGUCCGUCGUGAAGAGGGAAACAACCCAGACCGCCAGCUAAGGUCCCAAAGUCAUGGUUAAGUGGGAAACGAUGUGGGAAGGCCCAGACAGCCAGGAUGUUGGCUUAGAAGCAGCCAUCAUUUAAAGAAAGCGUAAUAGCUCACUGGUCGAGUCGGCCUGCGCGGAAGAUGUAACGGGGCUAAACCAUGCACCGAAGCUGCGGCAGCGACACUAUGUGUUGUUGGGUAGGGGAGCGUUCUGUAAGCCUGUGAAGGUGGCCUGUGAGGGUUGCUGGAGGUAUCAGAAGUGCGAAUGCUGACAUAAGUAACGAUAAAGCGGGUGAAAAGCCCGCUCGCCGGAAGACCAAGGGUUCCUGUCCAACGUUAAUCGGGGCAGGGUGAGUCGACCCCUAAGGCGAGGCCGAAAGGCGUAGUCGAUGGGAAACAGGUUAAUAUUCCUGUACUUGGUGUUACUGCGAAGGGGGGACGGAGAAGGCUAUGUUGGCCGGGCGACGGUUGUCCCGGUUUAAGCGUGUAGGCUGGUUUUCCAGGCAAAUCCGGAAAACCAAGGCUGAGGCGUGAUGACGAGGCACUACGGUGCUGAAGCGACAAAUGCCCUGCUUCCAGGAAAAGCCUCUAAGCAUCAGGUAACAUCAAAUCGUACCCAAAACCGACACAGGUGGUCAGGUAGAGAAUACCAAGGC
rnacentral:rRNA from 1 species